GGUUUCUGAAGGGGGGCGAGCCAUUUUAGCAGGUGUGGCCGCAGGGGUGGUGUUGCCGCUGGACUUUAGUCUGUCAUUCUCAGCCUUCAGCAGCUCAAUCUCGUUCUGCAUGUAAAAGAACAGCACUGCCCAUGCUGGAGUGACUAGCUGCACUAUUAAUACUGGACAUACUGUCUGACGAGUGCUGUCGACGGAUCCGCAGGCUUCUGCAAUGCACAAGAACCGACAGCUAGCCGCCAUCCAAAAUAGUCAAAACCGCAGACCUGAACUUCAGAUGCUGCCAUUUCCUUCUGUAAAUCAAUACACUGGCACCACUCAAGGAUGAAGAGGCUCUGUUUCUCAAACAGACAAUCCCACAAUCACACAGGCAGUAAAUUGCUUUCUUGAUUAGUGUGAUUGUAUGACACAAAGGAACUGGAGAAGACAGUUGAUGAAGUCAAUGGUGAAGUGAUAAAAAGGCCCAUGCAAAUUUUCAGCCACUGAACUCCACCGAAAACUCUGAAGAAUUGGAAUGGCCAUCAUUUACAAUAUUUUACAUAUUCCCUGCCCCUUAUGUUUUUGUUUAGUAAAUAUUUCAGGUAAUUUGUUUAUAUUUUCAACUAAUGAUAAGAGUGUAGUACUCUCAGCUUGGUUUAACACACUUUUCCAUGUAUUCUAAAAAAGUUUCCCUGAAAAUCAGCACAGCAAAGAAAAAAAAAAGGCUGCAAAUCAAUCUCUAGUAAAGAUCUGUGAUGAUUGUAAGAUUACUGUAAGUAUGACACCUCUCUCUUCCAUUAAAAUAUGUCUGAGAUAUCCACAGUUGUGGCAAACGUAAGCAC